UACGAAGGGAGCUAGCGUUGUUCGGAAUUACUGGGCGUAGAGCGCGCGUAGGCGGACCUGCAAGUCGGGGGUGAAAGCCCGAGGCUCAACCUCGGAACUGCCUUCGAUACUGCGGGUCUCGAGUCCGGGAGAGGUGAGUGGAAUUCCUAGUGUAGAGGUGAAAUUCGUAGAUAUUAGGAAGAACACCAGUGGCGAAGGCGGCUCACUGGCCCGGUACUGACGCUGAGGCGCGAAAGCGUGGGGAGCAAACAGG
rnacentral:rRNA from 1 species